UGAGGAGGCCAGGCGGCCGCCGGCCCCCGAACGGGGGCGGGAGGAAAGUCCGGGCUCCGCAGGGCAGGGUGCCGGGUAAUCCCCGGUGGGGGCGACCCCGAGGACAGCGCCACAGAAAACAUACCGCCCUCCGAAGCGGCGACGCGAGUCACCGCGGGGGAGGGUAAGGGUGAAAUGGUGAGGUAAGAGCUCACCGCGGGCCGGGCGACCGGGCCGGCUUGGCAAACCCCACCCGGAGCAAGACCGAAUAGGAGGGCGAUUCCGCGGGUUCCAUCCGCGGGGGAAGGGCGGCCCGCCCGGGGCCCUCGGGUACAGGUCGCUCAAGGCGCGCGGCGACGCUCGCCGUAGAGAAAUGGCCGUCACCCCGCCCGGACAUCCAGGCGGGGCACAGAACCCGGCUUACGGCCUCCUCAGGCC
rnacentral:RNase_P_RNA from 1 species